UACGUAGGUGGCAAGCGUUGUCCGGAUUUACUGGGCGUAAAGCGUGCGCAGGCGGUUCGUUGUGUCGGCGGUGAAAGCCCCGGGCUUAACCUGGGAAUGGCCGUCGAAACUGGCGAACUGGAGUGUGGCAGAGGGGGGUGGAAUUCCGCGUGUAGCAGUGAAAUGCGUAGAGAUGCGGAGGAACACCGAUGGCGAAGGCAGCCCCCUGGGCUGACACUGACGCUCAGGCACGAAAGCGUGGGGAGCAAACAGG
rnacentral:rRNA from 1 species